rfam:Gorilla gorilla gorilla genomic chromosome, chr4, whole genome shotgun sequence
UGUUGUUGCCAUGGUAAUCCUGCUCAGUACCAACCCGCAGGUUCAGACAUUUGGUGUAUGUGCUUGGCUAAGGAGCCAAUGGGGCAAAGCUACCCUCUGUGGGAUUUUGACUGAAUGCCUCUAAGUCAGAAUCCCGCCCAGGCUGAACCACAGGGCAGCGCUGCAGGGCCUCAGUUGGCCUCGGAUAGCCAGUCUCCCAAUGGCCUGGGAUAGCCAGUCUCCCGCCGUCCCCGCCGGCCGGCAGUUCGGCUCAGCAAGCGCGCAGGUACCCGGGGCCGGUGCGGAGAGUCCCUCCUCCUGGGAAACCGGGUGCGGCCGGAAAGGCGGCCGCCCCCUCACCCGUCAUGCAACGGCACGUUCGUGGGAAACCUGACAUUAAACUGUUCGUAGAUGACCUGCUUCUGGGUCAGGAUUUCGCACUGAGCAGAGCAGCUCCCUCGCUGUGAUCUACUGAAAGUCGGCCCUCGACACAAGGGUUU